GAUCAAGUUAUGAACCGUUUUCUGAAACUUCAUGAUUUCUGAGUCAUCUAUGAAUUAUAUGUUAAAUUAGAUUUUAUCUUGUUCCGAUUCAUGCGAUUCCAACUGGAUAUAAUUAUAAACUUAUAAAUAUGAUUCUUCGUGAAAUUUCAUGGUGUUUCGUUGAAAGAAUGAUUUAUUUGGUAUUUUUAAAGUUGAAUGCUCUGUUCUGAAAUUCUGCUGAUGUUGCUGUACUAAAUUAAUUAUUCCUCUUCC
rnacentral:lncRNA from 1 species